rnacentral:rRNA from 1 species
UAAGGAAUAUUGGUCAAUGCCCGGAAGGGUGAACCAGCCAUGCCGCGUGAAGGAUGACUGCCCUCUGGGUUGUAAACUUCUUUUGGAUGGGACGAAAAAACGGGAUUUAUCCUGGACUGACGGUACCAUCAGAAUAAGCACCGGCUAACUCCGUGCCAGCAGCCGCGGUAAUACGGAGGGUGCAAGCGUUAUCCGGAAUCACUGGGUUUAAAGGGUGCGUAGGCGGUUUUAUAAGUCAGGGGUGAAAGCAUGCAGCUUAACUGUAUAAUUGCCUUUGAUACUGUAAGACUUGAAUAAGGUUGAGGUUGGCGGAAUGUGACAUGUAGCGGUGAAAUGCUUAGAUAUGUCAUAGAACACCGAUUGCGAAGGCAGCUGACUGGGCCUUUAUUGACGCUGAGGCACGAAAGCGUGGGGAGCGAACA